UACGAAGGGGGCUAGCGUUGUUCGGAAUUACUGGGCGUAAAGGGCGCGUAGGCGGUCCUUCAAGUCAGGCGUGAAAGCCCCGGGCUCAACCUGGGAACCGCGCUUGAGACUGGCGGGCUAGAGUUCGGGAGAGGAUGGUGGAAUUCCCAGUGUAGAGGUGAAAUUCGUAGAUAUUGGGAAGAACACCGAUGGCGAAGGCGGCCAACUGGUCCGGUACUGACGCUGAGGUGCGAAAGCGUGGGGAGCAAACAGG
rnacentral:rRNA from 1 species